rnacentral:misc_RNA from 1 species
GUGAAUCAUCAAAUUUUUGAACGCAAAUUGCACUCUCCUCGGAGAGUAUGCCUGUUUGAGGGUCAGCCUAUAAAAAAUCGACAUCGUUGCUGUUUCGCGGUGGCGUUCGUCGGAAAUUGGGUUAUCUUAAAUCCUUUUGGGUUUUAAGCGACUUAAAAUUUUCUUUUUGUUUCUAUGAACGUUUCUAAGAUUUAUUUCUUUACACGUUUAAGGUAUCGUUUUUUAUUAGACGUCACUCAUAUAUCGGAUCGC